CCAUAGAAAACAAAUUGUAAGCAUUUAGCAUACCCACUUCAAUGCAAAGUACUUUUUACUGGAGGCCGAUUUUUGAAAUCGCGAUAAACUGGCGAAUGCGAUAAGGAUUUUAUCGCACGAUAAUAAAAAUUUGGUAUUCUUAAAAACAUGUAUGAUUUUAGUCGAACGAAAAACAUUCGUCUAAUGUAUGAAAUGUGAUAUAAAUUUUCUUAUUAUACAACAGAAUAUUAGACAUUAUAGUUAUUACCCACUAAAUAUUUUUAUCAAUUAUCGAUUUGUCAUUUUGCGUUGUGUAUAUUCCUUUGUAUUCAUCCGUAAUUAAUUGUCUUUCUUCGAUUACAAUGGCAAAUUUUGAUGAAAUGGCAAUGUUAUUUGCGAUUGAUAAUGUUAUUGAGCAUGAACGAGUGAAUAACGUACGACAAACACAAAGGAAAGAGACAAAUUCAGAUACUUUCGAUACAUCAGAUCGAAUUUUCAUUAAAAAUUUCAGACUUACUACAGACCUUGUAAGAUAUUUUAUUGAACAUUUACGACCACAUAUAAUUUCAAAAUACCAUCAGUCUGCAAUUGAUUUAAAUACAAAGGCAAUUCUGGAUACCUCUCACGUCAAUAGUUUUUGACACCAAUAUCAAUCCCUACAACGGAUGCUGAAAGAUAUUAUAAUCAAAAACAAAUGUCAACCAGACGCAUAAUAGAACGUUGUAGCGGAGUGUUAAAAGUGCGAUUUAGGUGUUUAUUGAAAAACAGAACUUAAUGUCUUUGCACUAUAAACCAGAAAAGGCAUUGUUAAUAAAUAAUAAUAAAUGCGUGUAUAGUUCUACAUAAUAUGUGUAUUACUAACAAUGUUCCCUUGUAUAGUUGUAUGAACUUGACGUUCCUGUGCAUGAUGAUUUGGGUGUGAUGGUAAACCAAGAAAUAUUAGCUUGACCAUAUUCAAAAUUUACACUUGGCUCUUGGUAGACACAUAGGAAUACAAUAUAACAUAGGUACUUACUUCAUAGACAUGUUGUUUAA